rnacentral:rRNA from 1 species
UGGGGAAUAUUGGGCAAUGGGGGCAACCCUGAUCCAGCCAUGCCGCGUGAGUGAUGAAGGCCUUAGGGUUGUAAAGCUCUUUCGCUAGGGAAGAUAAUGACGGUACCUAGUAAAGAAGCCCCGGCUAACUUCGUGCCAGCAGCCGCGGUAAUACGUAGGGGGCUAGCGUUGUUCGAAAUUACUGGGCGUAAAGCGCGCGUAGGCGGGCUAUUAAGUCAGGGGUGAAAUCCCGGGGCUCAACCUCGGAAUUGCCUCUGAUACUGGUAGUCUAGAGUCCGUGAGAGGUGAGUGGAACUCCGAGUAUAGAGGUGAAAUUCGUAGAUAUUCGGAAGAACACCAGUGGCGAAGGCGGCUCACUGGCACGGUACUGACGCUGAGGUGCGGAAGCGUGGGGAGCAAACAGGAUUAGAUACCCCCGUAGUCC